rnacentral:rRNA from 1 species
UACGUAGGGUCCAAGCGUUAUCCGGAAUCACUGGGCGUAAAGCGUGCGUAGGUGGCGUGUUAAGUGUGAUGUUAAAUCGUGUGGCUCAACCAUAUCGAUGUGUCGCAUACUGGCAUGCUAGAGGACAGCAGAGGCAAGUGGAAUUUGUAGUGUAGCAGUGAAAUGCGUAGAUAGUUACAAGGAACACCAAUGGCGAAGGCAGCUUGCUGGGCUACUCCUGACACUGGAGGUACGAAAGCCGUGGGGAGCGAACAGG